AGUGAACGCUGGCGGCAGGCCUAACACAUGCAAGUCGAGCGGCAGCGCGGGGGCAACCCUGGCGGCGAGCGGCGGACGGGUGAGGAAUGCGUCGGAAUCUGCCUCUUUGUGGGGGAUAACGUAGGGAAACUUACGCUAAUACCGCAUACGACCUACGGGUGAAAGUGGGGGACCGCAAGGCCUCACGCAGAGAGAUGAGCCGACGCCGGAUUAGCUAGUUGGCGGGGUAAAGGCCCACCAAGGCGACGAUCCGUAGCUGGUCUGAGAGGAUGAUCAGCCACACUGGAACUGAGACACGGUCCAGACUCCUACGGGAGGCAGCAGUGGGGAAUAUUGGACAAUGGGGGCAACCCUGAUCCAGCCAUGCCGCGUGAGUGAAGAAGGCCUUCGGGUUGUAAAGCUCUUUCGGACAGAAAGAAAUCGCACUUACUAAUACUGAGUGUGGAUGACGGUACUGUAAGAAGAAGCACCGGCUAACUACGUGCCAGCCGCCGCAGUAAUAC
rnacentral:rRNA from 1 species